CAGAUUCCCUCCCCCCUUACAUCAGGUGCCCCCUUCAGAUUCCCUCCCCCCUUACACUCAUUGCAGUCCCUUGUUACAUCAGGUGCCCCCUUCAGAUUCCCUCCCCCCUUACACUCAUUGCAGUCCCUUGUUACAUCAGGUGCCCCCUUCAGAUUCCCUCCCCCCUUACACUCAUUGCAGUCCCUUGUUACAUCAGGUACACCCUUCACAGUCCCCCUGUUACAUCAGGUGCACCCAGGUGUCCCUCUGCGCAUCAAAACUGAAAACAACGCAGCUCCUCCUUCCUCCCUCCAGUCUUCACUCCCCUUCGGUGCUUCGCUGACACUGAACUGUGCCGGUUCUCUACCGCCUCCUGCAGGCGGGAGGAAGAAGAACACCCAAUUCUCUUUCCAGCUAUCUUAGAGAGCCACAGUCUGGUCUGAAUAAUAUGUCCGGUUUACAGGUGGACUGAAACCUGGACACAAGAUUCAAAGCCCGGACUGUCAGGGUAAAUCCCAGACAGGUGACAACCCUAGUGCUGGUGGAGUGAGAAAGAUUAAGACUUUAUGCAGAGUCACAUACCAUUUUGCUAUCAUCCCCAGCAUUUCGCUAAAGAAGUAACAAUGAUAAGCAGGGGGGACUGGAUGUCUUGGCCUUACACCACUCCUGGAUUAGUUGCUGCGAUUGGUAGCCAGCUAGAAAAGGUGUGCAUUUCAGAGCUCCUCUGCCCCCAACUCCUCAAGCACCGGCUGCAUGGCUUGGAGUGGUGAAAAUCCCUAUAACACGAUUUUCACUGGCGGUGUGCAAAAUGUCACUUUACCAAUCAGCAGCAACAUACAUUUCUCUUUCGUUCAUAGACGGACACAGCCUUCUUUGACAUUAGGGUUAUGCUUCUUCCUACCAGG